rnacentral:misc_RNA from 1 species
AGUGAACAACUUAUAAAAUGGAGAAUUUCUCCUUUGCACAGUUGCAUCAUUCAUCCAUUCUUGUUCCAAAUUUAUUUGAAUACAAAUCAUAUCAUAUAAACUUGUCUGGUCUGCUAUAUAUAGUGCUUACAUAUAAUCAAUUGUCUUUCAAUAAUGUAUCUUUGAGUAAGCUGUAGAGUUAGAAAUUUCACCAACUAACAUCAUCUACCAAAACCUAAAUUUCUAUAAUCAUAAAUCCUAAACUGAUACACAGAUGUACACAGUUCAAUGACUAGUCAAUCUAAAUUUCAAGUCCUUUGGCAAAUAGUCAAUUGGUUACGCACCUGUCUCAUUGCAGGAAGGAGGACAUGCAGACCCCUACUUCAUCCUUCCCCUUUCUGAACAAUCCCCUGCAAUUUCAGCCUUCGUGUUACUUGGAUUGAAGUAUCCUCUUAUUUAUUUAUUUUUUGAUACAAGCUUUGGUUGGAAGAAAGCUCUUUCAAGUGUAAGGAAGAAUGUUUCAUGAUGAAGUCAUCAUUAUUUCAUAUGAGAUUCAAACCAUUUAAAGAACUGCUCAGACUGCAAGCUAGUCAUUUCAUGGUAUGCAAAUGCAAGAUUUAGUUCCUCCUGCACAUGUUGAACCAAAUUCUUAUCCAGCACAAUUUCCUUAGUUUCAUGGAGAGCUUCUUUCCAAUGUGUUGCACGCCCAUCUUUCAUCAUAUAUCCCUUUCUAUCAAUAAAGCCCUUGUCUCCAAAUAGCUUAAACAACUUAGCAGAAACAGUUUGAUUAAGUCCUGGAAUUCUAUCUGCCAAGAAAAAUGGGGAUAGUGGGAACUCGAGGCACUCAACCUCAGCAACAUCAAUGCCUUUAUUCUUUAGAACUUCAAUAAAUUCACUUAUCUUUUGCUGUCUAUAUAAAUCUUUGGGCAUGUGAACAAAGAGUGUCGGUGGAUAGUUUUCCGUGACAUCCAUUUGAUCAAAUAUCCCUUCAGCAAUCAUAAUUAUAAUGCUGCUAAACCUCAAACUGGUGGCAAGUGCAGAAACAAAGUAACCACCAGAAGAGGCCCCCAAAGCGACAAGUGGAAGCUUUUCAAGUUUAUUCCUCCAUAACCACCAUCUUAUAAUAUUCUUAACGAUCAACAUUUCCUCCCUGAAUGUCCAGCACCUACCCAUGCUUGAUAUGGUAAGAACAGCAAAUUUAUGAACAAGAGCAUGAAGAACAAGUAGCCUUUCCUCAGGCAAACCAACGCAAUUAGGACAGCUGGGAGAUCUGUCCCAGAAAUUAACAGCUCUGCCAUUGCAUCCAUGAGCCAAGAAGAUAACUGCUUUGGCUGAAUCUGGUAUUUGCCAUAUCACAUCUGUUCCAUUUCUAAACUCUAUAGUUGGGCGAAGCUGCAUUGAAUCAAAACUAUUCCAUUUUUGCACUGUAAAUCCAAGUGAAGAAUGUGUUUUCUUGCUAUUAUUGAAAAAUAACAAGAUUAAAAACAAGGGGAUCAAAACCAAACAAGUAACCAAAACUGGUAGCCGAUGGUUUUGAAAUCCAUGCCAAGCCUUUGACUUGCUUCCACGCUUCAACAUUGGAGAAUUAGAAAAUGCAGGAGAACGCACCCGAAACAACUGAUAGAGAAACAGACGCGGCUCUUGGUUCGAAGGUGAAUGUUUAUGAUUUUG